rnacentral:rRNA from 1 species
GACGAACGCUGGCGGCGUGCCUAAUACAUGCAAGUAGAACGCAGUUGCGAACGGGUGAGUACCGCGUAGGUAACUUCCUCAUAGCGGGGGAUAACUAUUGGAAACGAUAGCUAAUACCGCAUACUGUGAGAUUGACCUGUGUUGUAUUAGCUAGUUGGUGAGGUAAAGGAUCAUCAAGGCGCCGAUACAUAGCCGACCUGAGAGGGGGAUCGGCCACAACUGAACUGGGACAACGGCCAGACUCCUAUGGGAGGAAGCAGUAGGGAAUCUUCUGGAAAGGACGGAAAGCUUACCGGGCAACGCCGCGUGAAUGAAGAAGGUUUUCGGAUCGGAAAGCUCUGGUGGUAGAGAAGCGGUAGCUAACCAGAAAGGGACGGCUAACUACGUGCCAGCAGCCGCGGUAAUUC